rnacentral:antisense_RNA from 1 species
AUGACUUCUCUUAGUGACCACAGGUUGGUUGAGGGGUUUAACAAGGCUAAGAAGGUGAGACGUGGUCUUGUAACACAGUGGUUAAGAAUGUGACUUUGGAGCCAGCCUGCUAGGGGCUGAAUUCUGACUCAGCCAUUUAUUAACUGUGUGACCUUAGGGAGGAGGACCUGGUUGAUAGAAGAAUUUAUCUCAUAGUCUUAACAUCCACUGUAAUUCCGAACUUUGAGGACGAUAGAGAUCAGUGGGCUUUGACUGCCCAGCAUGCAGUCUCCAUUCUUAGGUCAUAGAAUUUUCCACACUCCUUGACGGAGGUUCUUAACCCUUAUCCAUCAGCAUUCUCAGACAGCACCUCCGGUUAGGGACAGUAUCUGACCGUCCGACAUCCCUGCAGCCCCCAUGCUGUCACACAGACUCAGCCUCAGGUAGAUGGUUUCCGUAGAUGGUGGCUUUCUUUGGACCCUUGAUAUCAACCAGUUACUAUUUGCUCAGCAAGGCCCACAUUCUCCCGGUGAAGCCACAGAACCACAGGGAGAAAUCCAUGGACUUGGCCUCGCUCUCUAGGGGACCAGAUGUGCAGAGGUAAUGAAUACCAGGGAAUCAGGAAACCACUGGAUCAGUUCUUUGAGCCAUAGAACAACACUCAUCCCAGCAGCUGGGAAGCUAUCUGCAAAAGUCCAUCUGCAGAAAGGGCUUCCUGGUCUUGCGUGUGGCUGGGCCAUUUCUCUGGAUGCAGGUUUUUCAUUAUACAGUCUUCUCAAAGGACCACCUGCUCUCAACACC